UUCUUGUCUUAAAGAUUAGGCCAUGCAUAUCUUAGUGCAUGGCAUAUUAAGGUGAAACCACAAAUGGCUCAUUAAAUCUGUUAUGGUUCUUCGGUUCGUGCCUCAUUACUUGGAUAACAGUGGCAAUUCUUGAUCAAAUACAUACAGCAAAGCUCUAAUUCUCUGGGGCCAAAUGCUUUUAUUAGACCAAAACAAAUCGGGCCUCGUGUCCGUAUUAUGUUGCGACUCUAAAACUUUCGAAUGAUUUCAUGGGCUCAUCCCAGUAACGUAUCUUUCAAGUGUCUGUCUUAUUACCUGUCUAUAGUAGGUUAUAUGCCAACCAUGGUUUUAUACGGGUCCAGUUAAAGAGAGAAAGCUUGAGAAAUGGCUACCACAUCCAAGGAAGACAGUAGGCGCACAAAUUACCCACUCACAGAAUGAAGAGCUAAUGACGAAAAAUAACAAUACAGGCCUCUUUUGAGAUCCUGUAAUGAGUACACUCUAACAAGGAUCAAUUUGAAGAA
rnacentral:ncRNA from 1 species